AGGCUGACAGAUCAGAGAGGCGCUGGCAGUGGACUUAGGGAGCUCGGCUGCUACUGCUCCCUCCCUGGGCUUCGGCAAGAGUCUUUCCCUGUCUAACACGAGGGAACACACGGAGAAUUUUAAUGUACACAUGCAAGAACAAAAGCCUGUGAAGCUGGAACGCAACUGUAGCAUUAAACAGCGGUGCCUCAAAACGUGGAUUUGUACCAACUAGAAGAACAACAUCUGCUUCUUCCACACCAGCAAUUGUGGUAUUGAGAAGAUAAUUGGAACGUAAGUCUGUACUAAAAUAUAAAAUAUAACUCAAGUUUAAGAAGAAAAACAAACAGUAACCACAUAAGACCCUGCAAGUAAACCUAACACAUGCUAUAACACACACAUAAAGCUAAUACAUGCACGAGUCCACAGACUCGUCUCGGAUCAUAAAUCCCAGUGCACUCUCACACACAGGUUUUCAUAAAGUGUGUCCAACUGCUGUCCUGUUUACAGCCCAAGUUGGCCUUGAACUUGAGCAGCCGUCCUCUCAGCUACCACAUGGUUGAGACUACCACACACACCGUGAUGCCAGGCAGGUGUGUCCAAAUGAAACUAAACUUACAACAUGUAUUAAGGACUACAUUCUUCUGUAAGAUUUAGCUGUUGAUUUCGUUUAUUAGCCUGUGUUAACUACACAUGAUGGGUGAGAAUUCCACUUUCAUACAUGUGUAAUCUGAUCACGUUCACCUCUCAUUGCCCUCGGAGCUUCCUUCCCACCCCUCUAAGCUACCUUUGCUCAGACAGGAUCUUUCUACGUUCAUGCUGUCUGGUUUGACUUAGAUGUGAAAGUGUACUGGUAUGUUAGAGAACCCAGUGUGUCAAAGAUUGAACAGUGACAUUACAGAUGUGGCUGCUUUUUUUUUUUUAAAAAAGGAAAACGAUAGCUGAGAACAGUUGUAACACUCAUCUUCAAUCCAAGUACUUAGGAGGUAAAGACAGAAAGUUCUUCUGCUACACAGAGUUCAAGGCCAGCCUGGGCUACAAGAAACUCAAAAAUCAAAAUGAAAUCCCAAACAGCAGCCUGGAGCACAGCUUACUGCUUCUCACCCAGCUCCUUCAGUGGGGAAGAUCUCUUCAGUGCAUAAGUUGUCAGAGUCAACUUUAUUAAGCAAGUCUUUCAGAGCUACUAAGGCUUCAGCAUCCACCAAGCCUCCUGCAAUCGCUGCCACAGCAUUGCCUUCAAAAUUCUGUAACUGGAAACAGAAAAGGGCAUCUCUAAGAAACCUACAGUCAGCAAAGACCAUGACUGUUCAGGAAAUAAACCAAGUCAUUUUCAAGCAUCCAGAGUAGCAGGAGGCACAGCCGUCUCUCCUGAAUUAGUGUAGCUACCACUGCACAUUAAAGAAGCUUUUUACAGCAAAUGCAGAGGAAAACCACACUGGAAACAAUGCAGAAAUCAACAAAUUGUGGGGACCCCAGCCACAACAGACACAUCUACACCAUGGCUCUUGCAGCUAUUGCUCAAGGAACCAGAAAAUAAAGAGUCUAAGAGCCAGCGUACCAGAAGUCUGCUGUAAAGCAGUGUCUCCUAGAAAGGCUGCAUAAACAAGAUCCGAAUACCAAUACCAACAGGAAUUUUAACAUGGAAGGGAGAAAAUUCCACAGGUCUCACCUCUAGACAAAGAACUGCAAGCAACUGACUGCUGGGAGAAAAAGAAUUAGCUUCUCUCAGGAAUGAACCCCCAUAUAGGUUGUCCAGUACAGAGCAGUCAGUCAGCCUUGAAAUCAUAUAUACACAAACAAUAAAAAUGUAGAGUCUAUUUGUGCAUGUACAUAAAUUUAUAUAUUUACUAUAUAUAUAUAUAAUAUAAAUAUAAAAAAUAAAAAAGUUUUUUCAAUUAAAAAAAAAGACAGAGGCUAUCAACUUGAGAAUAGAAGGGGAAUGAGAGGGAUUCAGGGAUAGGUCACUAGGAGGGCCUGGAGAGAGAAGCCAGAUAAGUGAUACAGUUCUAUUUCAACUAUAAAAUGAAAAUAUAUAUAUAUAUAUAAAACAUGUAUUUAAAAAGACAUUGUUGUCAAAAAAUAUUAGCUAGCAAAUAAAAAACAUUUAACCUUUUCUUUUUCUGGUGAAUUAAAUUAACUAACAUUUGAUUAUUGAAAUAACUUCCGAGUUCUCAAAAUACUCAUACAGUCAAGGAAUUUAAUGUAUUUUGGGUCUGAAUGCAAUGAACCACUUAUAUUUCUUUCUAAUAAACUGAUUCCUAGCAGA
rnacentral:lncRNA from 1 species